rnacentral:rRNA from 1 species
UACAGAGGGUGCAAGCGUUGUUCGGAAUUACUGGGCGUAAAGCGCGUGUAGGCUGUUUUGCAAGUCGGAUGUGAAAGCCCUGGGCUCAACCUAGGAAGUGCACUCGAAACUGCAGAACUGGAGUCCUGGAGAGGAAGGCGGAAUUCUCGGUGUAGAGGUGAAAUUCGUAGAUAUCGAGAGGAACACCGGUGGCGAAGGCGGCCUUCUGGACAGUGACUGACGCUGAGACGCGAAAGCGUGGGGAGCAAACAGG